rnacentral:rRNA from 1 species
AUGGCUUCAAUUCGAACAGCUGUCCCUUUCUCACCUGCUUCAUUCUGUGUUAAUAGGAUGAACCAUCACCUUGAAAGUAGUGAUUACCAGAAGCUCUUCUGUAGGAAGAUGGACUCUGCUGAGCUCCAAACUCCACUUCUACAUGGUCUUCCGGAUGAGAUUGCUCUUCUUUGCCUGGCAAGGGUUCCUCGGCAGUAUCACAAUGCUCUCAGGUGUGUCUCAAGGGGAUGGAAGGCCUUGUUAAGCAGUGAAGAGUGGCACUCUUACCGCAAGCGGAACAAUUUGGCCGAGUCCUGGAUAUAUGUGAUCUGUAGGGGCACAGGCUUCAAAUGCUAUGUUCUUGUUCCUGACCCUACGACCCGGUCCUUGAAAGUCAUCCAAGUCAUGGAACCUCCAUGCUCAGGGCGGGAAGGCGUUUCCAUAGAGACCUUGGACAGGAGGUUAUUUCUCAUGGGUGGUUGUAGUUGGCUAAAGGAUGCUAAUGAUGAAGUGUACUGUUACGACGCUGCUUCAAAUCAUUGGAGCAAAGCACCACCAAUGCCUACUGCUAGGUGCUUCUUUGUAUCUGCAGCUCUGAAUGACAAGAUUUAUGUUACUGGAGGACUCGGACUGACCGACAAGUCACCUAAUUCUUGGGACAUCUACGACAAAGCCACAGACUCCUGGUUCUCGCACAAGAACCCGAUGCUCACUCCAGACAUUGUCAAAUUCGUGGCGCUGGAUGAUGAGCUGGUGACCAUCCACAAGGCGUCCUGGAACAGAAUGUAUUUCGCGGGUAUAUACGACCCGGUCGACCAGUCCUGGAGGGGCAAGGAGAACGAGAUUGCCCUGUGCUGGUCCGGCCCGACGGUCGUCGUUGACGGGAUGCUCUACAUGCUCGACCAGUCCCUCGGCACCAAGCUGAUGGUGUGGCUGAACGAGACCAAGCAGUGGGUGAUGGUCGGCAGGCUGUCGGACAAGCUCACGCGCCCGCCGUGCGAGCUGGUGGCCAUCGGCAGGAAGAUCUACGUGAUCGGCAAGGGGCUGAGCACGGUGACCAUCGACAUGGACAUGGCGGCCAGGGUGGACGGGUUCCUGGUCUCGUCGUCGACAGGCCCGCUGAUGGAGCACGACUUCUCGCCGGAGAAGUGUAGCGUCAUCACCAUCUGA